CGGAUCGCCUACCCCACCGNAGGUUANAGGUAAGAGCCUUANCACUCUAUGAACCUGCNAGGCUGUCACUUCCGGUNAGUACCGACUAUGUGCUUCCGGCGUUGCGGGACCCGCCGCANAAGUAGUCGCUGGGGAAUCAACGAGGCGGGCAUGAGGUAGGGGGUAGAGAGACACUACCGCGAAUCAUAGGUGGGCGGAGUCGUCCCAGUCGGCCCUGUGGUAGAUAGCCUUCCUAUACGAACGAGUCGGAGUAUGUAUUGGGAAUGCAGCUCUAAAUGGGUGGUAAAUAUUCAUACUAAAGAGCUAAAUAUUGGCNNGAGACCGAUAGCGNACAAGUAGAGUGAUNCGAAAGAUGAAAAGCACUUUGAAAAGAGAGUUAAAAAGAAGGUUGAAAUGGUGGAAAGGGAAAGNNGCUUUNGAAGGAACCANGAAUUCGCUCCNGCGGGGCUNUCACGGGCGGUCGNUANCGGNUUAGCCCGGAGUNAUAAUNUUUUCCCCGCGGAGUGGGGCNGUGACUNGAGGUAGGUACGAGGAAAUGGGUACGGGACCGUGUUCGCAGAAUGGUCUUCAAUANGGAAUUUCGUUAUGGUGNCGCCUUNCACGUUGCUAGGCCUUGUAAAUAUGGACCGGGAGGGCGGUCGCAAGUUGGCGCGCUUCAAUGGGCGCCUGGGGGACGCCUAGCGAAACCCUUCCCCUCUUCACGAGCAUNGAAAAUUUGCUUGGGAUUUAAAAUUGGUCUUAA
rnacentral:rRNA from 1 species